GUCACUAUAGCCAAGUGGUUACGGCGACAGAUUCGAAAUCUGUUGGGCUUUGCCCGCGUAGGUUCGAAUCCUACUGGUGACG
rnacentral:tRNA from 1 species